rnacentral:Y_RNA from 1 species
GGUGGGUCCAAGUGCAGUGGCAUUAUAACUAAUUGAUCACAACCAGUUACAGAUUCCUUUGUUCCUUCUCCACUCCCACUACUUCACUCGACCAACUUAAA